GUGCUAAGCUUCGGCAGCAUAUAUACUAAAAAACUGGAACGAUACAGAGAUUAGCAUGGCCCCUGCACAAGGAUGACAUGCAAACUCGUGAAGCGUUCCAUAUUAAA
rnacentral:snRNA from 1 species